GUGUCAGCCGCCGCGGUAAUACGGAGGGUGCGAGCGUUAAUCGGAAUUACUGGGCGUAAAGCGCGCGUAGGCGGCUUGGUAAGUCGGAUGUGAAAGCCCCGGGCUUAACCUGGGAACUGCAUUCGAUACUGCCUGGCUGGAGUGUGGUAGAGGAGAGCGGAAUUCCCGGUGUAGCGGUGAAAUGCGUAGAUAUCGGGAGGAACAUCAGUGGCGAAGGCGGCUCUCUGGACCAACACUGACGCUGAGGCGCGAAAGCGUGGGUAGCAAACAGGAUUAGAUACCCCCGUAGUCC
rnacentral:rRNA from 1 species